UAUAUGUAUGUAUGUGUAUAUAUGUAUGUGCGUGUAUAUAUGUAUAUAUAUGUGUGUGUUUGUAUAUGUAUAUGUAUGUAUAUAUAUAUAGCUGUGUUAAUGUUAAGAUUUUUCCCCUUUCUUUUGUCUGAACUCUGGAGGAAGAACAACCGUGGAAAUUAGAAGGGAGCAUGGAAUAUUUCUUUCUGAGCGGCUGAACACAAGCACCAAAGUCCACCAGAGUUAUUUAUAGAGGCAAAAGUUUGGACAGAGCUCUUAAAAAAGUGGUCAGUGGAAUAUUACCUUCAAGAUGAACAUGUAGGCAGCUGGAGAACAUUCUCAAGCUUCUGGAUGGCUCACGAAGGGAGAGUGUAUCUGGUGGUUGCAUUUUGUGUGACGGGAGUGUUCCUGAAGACCUUGCAAAUCCAAGACUGAUUUUCCAUUGGAAUAAAUGACAGAAUGUGAUGGGGGGAGAGACAGAGAGACACAGAAUCCGAAGCAGGCUCCAGGCUUUGAGCUGUCAGCACAGAGCCCCAUGUGGGGCUCGAACUCAUGAGCUGUGAGAUCAUGAUCUGAGCUGAAGUCGGCCAUCCAACCGACUGAGCUGCCCAGGCAUCCCAGUCAGCAUACCCUCUUCCCUAUAUUCUUUCUCUGAAGUCAAGAACAAUUUAUGUACAAUAAAAUUCACCUCAUUUAGACAGAA